ACCUCCCGGUCCAACUCCUCCUUCCUCUUACUGCCUGAGUUUUUUCAGAGCCAUCUCAUUCUAUCAUACAAAAAAAUCGAGUCAAUUACAUUCCUUCGCUAAUGGAAAAAUUCCAAGCCAUGUAUAAAUGUGUCAUUCUUCUUGCACUGGUUGCUUUCCAUGAAGCUCUGGUAACUCAAGGAAGGCAAAUAAAGUCAACAAAACAAAAGCAGUACAGAAGUCCUAGAGAUGAUCUGCAUGUAGGCUCUAGCGGGGAAACUAGAAAACGAGGCAUCGAAUCGGCCGCCAUGAUCAGCUCCUUUGACAGCGCCGCACCGCAUGAUCAAUAUGAUCCAAAAACAACACACGCAAGUCACAUUCCUAGUACUGUCGAUCAAUCUAUGACAAGAAAGAAAGAAGCUUCUGUCCUGCCCAUGAAACCAAAUUACAGCUUUAGCUUCCACGACUCAGAAGUGGCGCAUAAUAAAGAUAAUUUUCGACCGACAACACCUGGCCCAUUCAUUCCAAAACCAGGAAGCGGACGUUGAAUCAAAGGCACUAGCUAAGGGCAAGGGUGUUAGGCAUUCCCUUACAGGAUUCAAAGAUAAUUACCAGCCCACGGCACCCGGACACAGCCCUGGCGUUGGUCAUGUUUUUCAAAGUAAAACCGAAGAAACAAAUUAAUCGUGACUAGGCGUUUAUAUCUUAGUGUUUGCAAUGGUCUUUGGCGUUUAUAUCUACUCAAUCUGUCUAAAGGUGAUAAGCACCCACACCAAGACUAAAUUUCGGAACCUUCAAGUUAUUGAAAGGCCUUGCCAUGAUAAUGGCAUUGAGCUAUCCGAAAUUCAUUACACUCAUUUCCCAAAACCUGAAACUUAUAGCAGAGGUCGGGAAGUGGGUGGUUUGAGACCCUAUUAAAUAGUACUCAUGUUUGUUGCGCGUCUGGCCUGUACAAAAUCACACAAUACGAUUUAAGUGGUUCAGCAAA